rnacentral:rRNA from 1 species
AAAUUGAAGAGUUUGAUCAUGGCUCAGAUUGAACGCUGGCGGCAGGCCUAACACAUGCAAGUCGAGCGGUAGCACAGAGAGCUUGCUCUCGGGUGACGAGCGGCGGACGGGUGAGUAAUGUCUGGGAAACUGCCUGAUGGAGGGGGAUAACUACUGGAAACGGUAGCUAAUACCGCAUAACGUCGCAAGACCAAAGUGGGGGACCUUCGGGCCUCAUGCCAUCAGAUGUGCCCAGAUGGGAUUAGCUAGUAGGUGGGGUAACGGCUCACCUAGGCGACGAUCCCUAGCUGGUCUGAGAGGAUGACCAGCCACACUGGAACUGAGACACGGUCCAGACUCCUACGGGAGGCAGCAGUGGGGAAUAUUGCACAAUGGGCGCAAGCCUGAUGCAGCCAUGCCGCGUGUGUGAAGAAGGCCUUCGGGUUGUAAAGCACUUUCAGCGGGGAGGAAGGCGUUAAGGUUAAUAACCUUGGCGAUUGACGUUACCCGCAGAAGAAGCACCGGCUAACUCCGUGCCAGCAGCCGCGGUAAUACGGAGGGUGCAAGCGUUAAUCGGAAUUACUGGGCGUAAAGCGCACGCAGGCGGUCUGUCAAGUCGGAUGUGAAAUCCCCGGGCUCAACCUGGGAACUGCAUUCAAAACUGGCAGGCUAGAGUCUUGUAGAGGGGGGUAGAAUUCCAGGUGUAGCGGUGAAAUGCGUAGAGAUCUGGAGGAAUACCGGUGGCGAAGGCGGCCCCCUGGACAAAGACUGACGCUCAGGUGCGAAAGCGUGGGGAGCAAACAGGAUUAGAUACCCUGGUAGUCCACGCCGUAAACGAUGUCGAUUUGGAGGUUGUGCCCUUGAGGCGUGGCUUCCGGAGCUAACGCGUUAAAUCGACCGCCUGGGGAGUACGGCCGCAAGGUUAAAACUCAAAUGAAUUGACGGGGGCCCGCACAAGCGGUGGAGCAUGUGGUUUAAUUCGAUGCAACGCGAAGAACCUUACCUGGUCUUGACAUCCACAGAACUUUCCAGAGAUGGAUUGGUGCCUUCGGGAACUGUGAGACAGGUGCUGCAUGGCUGUCGUCAGCUCGUGUUGUGAAAUGUUGGGUUAAGUCCCGCAACGAGCGCAACCCUUAUCCUUUGUUGCCAGCGGUCCGGCCGGGAACUCAAAGGAGACUGCCAGUGAUAAACUGGAGGAAGGUGGGGAUGACGUCAAGUCAUCAUGGCCCUUACGACCAGGGCUACACACGUGCUACAAUGGCAUAUACAAAGAGAAGCGACCUCGCGAGAGCAAGCGGACCUCAUAAAGUAUGUCGUAGUCCGGAUUGGAGUCUGCAACUCGACUCCAUGAAGUCGGAAUCGCUAGUAAUCGUAGAUCAGAAUGCUACGGUGAAUACGUUCCCGGGCCUUGUACACACCGCCCGUCACACCAUGGGAGUGGGUUGCAAAAGAAGUAGGUAGCUUAACCUUCGGGAGGGCGCUUACCACUUUGUGAUUCAUGACUGGGGUGAAGUCGUAACAAGGUAACCGUAGGGGAACCUGCGGUUGGAUCACCUCCUUA